rnacentral:rRNA from 1 species
UACGUAGGGGGCUAGCGUUGUCCGGAAUCAUUGGGCGUAAAGAGCGUGUAGGCGGCCCGGUAAGUCCGCUGUAAAAGUCAAAGGCUCAACCUUUGAAUGUCAGUGGAUACUGCCGGGCUAGAGUCCGGAAGAGGCGAGUGGAACUCCUGGUGUAGCGGUGGAAUGCGCAGAUACCAGGAAGAACACCAACGGCGAAGGCAGCUCGCUGGGACGGUACUGACGCUGAGACGCGAAAGCGUGGGGAGCGAACAGG